UGAGUAACCUGCCCUUAACUCUGGGAUAGCCUGGGAACUGGGUCUAAUACCGGAUAUGACUCCUCAUCGCAUGGGUGGGGGGUGGAAAGCUUUAUUGUUGGUUUUGGAUGGACUCGCGGCCUAUCAGCUUGUUGGUGAGGUAAUGGCUCACCAAGGCGACGACGGGUAGCCGGCCUGAGAGGGUGACCGGCCACACGUGGGACUGAGACACGGUCCAGACCUCCGUACGGGGAGCAG
rnacentral:rRNA from 1 species